rnacentral:rRNA from 1 species
GGGAACUCUGAGACAGGUGCUGCAUGGCUGUCGUCAGCUCGUGUUGUGAAAUGUUGGGUUAAGUCCCGCAACGAGCGCAACCCUUAUCCUUUGUUGCCAGCGCGUAAUGGUGGGAACUCAAAGGAGACUGCCGGUGAUAAACCGGAGGAAGGUGGGGAUGACGUCAAGUCAUCAUGGCCCUUACGAGUAGGGCUACACACGUGCUACAAUGGCGUAUACAAAGAGAAGCGAACUCGCGAGAGCAAGCGGACCUCAUAAAGUACGUCGUAGUCCGGAUCGGAGUCUGCAACUCGACUCCGUGAAGUCGGAAUCGCUAGUAAUCGUAGAUCAGAAUGCUACGGUGAAUACGUUCCCGGGCCUUGUACAC